GGAUAAAUCACAAUAAUUUUUUUGUUGUGGAGUUGAGGCGUCACAUUGGCAACAAUGGGUCCCUUUAAAUAUAGUUAGGUGAAGAGGAUUAGCGUCCUUGUAACCACUAGUGUGUCAAUUGUCCUUUGGGCAUCAUACGCUAUGUCGGUUCUUGGGCAUCAAAGCUAGUAUCUCUAAGCUUUACAUUUAUUCUUUUGAAAC
rnacentral:misc_RNA from 1 species